GGUAGAUUAGUCUUACAGCAUGUUUCUGACGUCGAUAUAAAGUUUUUAAUUUGGUUAUAUGCGUACUCGCCCAAGCUAUAUUCGCUUAUAUGAUGUAGCUAUGUAUAAAAGAGAAAUAUAUAAGUUUUAAACUACUUUGCGACAGCAUAGGUUUUGCUUUAUAAAGUAGACCUAUGUUUUUUGAUACUGCUUUUUUCUUAUUCAACCGGCCUAUAGUAUCUAAGUUAACAACAAGUAAAAAGGAAGGGGAGUCUAAUGAGCUAAAAAUGGGUGGGUAAAUUUUUCAAAAAUUAAUAAAAGUCCAUUCUCGUGUAAUAACCACUUGAGAAUAAUCAAAAAAUAAUGUUAAGUUAAAAUAUAGUUCUCAAAAGUAGUUGAGGCUAAAUAAUUGAAUUAGGCUAAAGUCUUUCCAUUAGUUAUUUGUUGCAAUAAAUGAGACAUCGAAGUUGUUAAUUUUUUUUUGGCUAUGAGACUUGGAGAUCUGAAAACCAGUCGUGACAUCUUAAAACUAUGCGGUAGUGAGGUUGGUAUCUUGUGAUCUAAUUAAGAAGUCACAACUAUUUUUUAGCGUAACUAUUAAAAAGUUUAAAAUAAGACAUUAGACUUAAUGUUUUUAUAACAAAAAAAUUAAAAUAUAUAAUUAUCAUAAAAAAUGUAGUUUUAAUUAAUGGUAAUAGGUUAAAUUUAGCUGUUAAGCAUAAAAGGUCCGUUUCAGUGCUAAACGUCACGAAAAUAAAUUGUAAAUAAUGUUUAAAUUGGCAUUAAAAAACUAAUAACUAUCGAGUCUAAUAGAUUUAGCAAACCAAGAAUGAAGGAAGUAAUUAUAGUGUUUGAGAAUAAAUAGGAUAAUGAUUCUAAAAACUAUGUUGUUGGUGUUCUAAAGGUUAAGAUUGAGAGUAAAAAGAGUUUAUUAAGAAUUAAGAGAUGACUUCAAAAAUUUUGGAUAAAAUCAUGGUUUUAGACUUAGAGUGCUGCGAAUAUUUAAAAAGUUUGGGAUUUGAAUCCGAUGAGAUAAUCUCAUUACUUGACAAAGAAACAAUACUAGAAAUUUUUCCAGAAAAAAGGCGCAAAGCAUUUGUCCAUAGAAUGCUGGUCAGAAAUGCUAUUACCAAAUAUUUAGAAGAAGUUGCUGCAGCUGAUUUUAAUAUUAAG